UACGUAGGGGGCAAGCGUUAUCCGGAAUCACUGGGUGUAAAGGGAGCGUAGACGGUUGUGCAAGUCUGGAGUGAAAGGCGGGGGCCCAACCCCCGGACUGCUCUGGAAACUGUGUAACUGGAGUGCAGGAGAGGCAGGCGGAAUUCCUGGUGUAGCGGUGAAAUGCGUAGAUAUCAGGAGGAACACCGGUGGCGAAGGCGGCCUGCUGGACUGUAACUGACGUUGAGGCUCGAAAGCGUGGGGAGCAA
rnacentral:rRNA from 1 species